CAAAAUCUGGAUUCACCCCGUCUCCUCUGGAAAGUCUCUCCAAAGCCACAUCCUCUCAGAUUCAUUGGCGAGUCUGGAGUCCAUAUUGGGAUAGACGAACACUGUUUUCAAUUUUUCGCUCUCUUUUUUUAAAGGUCACCCUGGCGGUAUUUUAAUUCAUCCCGUCGUAUGGAAUCCCGCUGCGACCCGCGCACAGACCAAGAGUGCCACCGAAGAGAUGCUGCUGAAGAAUGCUGGACAUGAAAAUGAGUUGAACAUUAUGAAAUCUCCUGUCCCUCUGGGUUGGCAAUCAGUGGUCAUCUACCAUCAUCUCAGAGGAAAACCAGAAGAGCUCCACUCUAACUUCUGUAAGGGUUAGUCCAUUAUGGAAGAUCAAACAAUUUUCUGGCGCUGGUUUUGUGAAAUUCGGCUGCUGCCUUGGACCCUCCAUUUGAAAAAGAAAUUAACGUUGAGGAACAAAUAAAG
rnacentral:lncRNA from 1 species